UCUCCCCAGACCCCCCGCUGCCGCGGCGACCUCCCAGAUCCUCGCCGCCGCGCCCAAGCAGCCCCGUGCGCCGCCCCGCCACAUCCCUGCGCCGCCGCCUGCGCACCACCACCGCCGCAACCCACCUCCUCGCACCGCCAACUUCUCACCAACGCCGCCACCAGGAUCCACACACCUCCACGCGUCGCCGGCACCUGUGCUCGCGCGCGCCGCCGUUCCUGAGCUAGUGCGCCACCGUAGCCAUUCUUGAGCUCGCCCGCCGCCGCCGUUCCCGAGCUCGCGCCCCGCCUCAUUCCACCACUCGCCUCUCCUGGAUGAUGCCGGCGCUCCAACCUCCCUCCCCCAAGCGAGUCGCCAUACAUCACCAUGGAUCCCCAUGGCGAACCACGCCGAGACCCUGAUCUAGACUUCCAGCUCCUCCCACCUCACCAUGGGUCAGCCCUGUAUCCCGCCUCCUUUCUCGGGUCACUUGCGCACCGGGCGCCGUGCGCCACCCCCGCAGCCUGCCUUCUCCCAUGCACCGCCUCUGAGCUGGUCAUCGCGCGCCGUCCGAGCUUCCAGCCUCGUCUCUCCGCCGUCCGACGCCUCCGCAGGUCGCCUUAGUCAGCCCCGCUGUCGAUGAUGCUGUUCUCAGCCCCUCCUAACCUACCUCAUCCACUCCAUGCUCCCCUUGGUCCCUCUGCAUCUCUCGUGCACAGCCACGACUUGUCCUCCAAUGGUCAGCGUACGACAGUGGUUGUUAAUGGAAAAUUAGACCCACCUGUGCUACUGUUGUUGUUGGUCGUCAGGUUGGCCGUGCCCAAAUCCAACAAGGAGCAGCAGUAGUAGCAGGUAUUGGAGGAGAUCAAAUUAUGUGAUGUGGCGAGGAGUGUUAUUCACAAAAUUUCCGUUGGCCUUCUCUAGUUGCGUCCUCAUUACUGCUGCUCCAGACAAGUAUGGACUACAGGACGCCUCCGCAGCAUGACCAAGUGUCAGUCUUUUUCUCUGAACCUCUUCCUUUCUACUUGCACACUCUGAACUUGUUGCACCUGCCGUUAUGUGCUCCACCAAGGAUGGCAAAAGAAAUUUCUAUUUUUCCUUUAUAGUGUGUGUUCUUAUUAGAAAAAAGAGAAGUCCAGUUUGUAACGAUGACAUAAAAAGGGCAUGAAUUCCAAUUUGAGAAACCAGGGAUUGUUCUCUGUUGUAACCUCUGUUAGUUCCAGAUUAAAAAUGUAUUUGUAUUGGGAAUUUGAUUUUGUAUCCUCCAAUUUAAUGAGAACUAGUUGUAGCAUCUGGAAUCUCUUGCAAAACAUUUUCUAAUGCAGGCAAACAAAAAUGGGCACAUUAUUUUGCUCGGCACUGAUGUGCAUGUCGCCGCCGCCAUUGCAUCCUCCAGCUCAACCCCACCAUUGCAGUCCAACGACUCCAGUUGUAGUCAUUCGCCACCGUCGUGCGAGGUAAGAUGGAUCUCAACAUCUUGCUCAUCCCUGCCACAGCCAUGGCUCCCAGCAGGGCGCUGCCUUGUGAGGAGGGGGCCGGCCUUGCAUCCUCCCGCACGAACCCCAUAGUGCGCCGCCGUCGGGACCCGGCAUGCAAAGCACUGGCUGUUCACCGCCGUCGGGCCACCACUCCCGGGAUCGGGGCCGCUGUGCUCGCGAGAUGUGUGCGCGCUAAUUGACGCUAAUCGAAGCUCAUCUCCUCCCUUGUGUAUGCAUCAACAAAAAUUGUGUGGGUCGCUGCAGUCCAAGUCGUGCCACAACAGCAGGGCGACUCUUCCAGGACGCAUAUCAUCUCAACCAGCUCCAAUUUUGCGUGCACGGGGUGGUGGGUGCUGCUCCAGCAAGCUCCUUCGUCCCCGGCCCAUCCUUGAAUGCGGAUGCAGCACUGCAGGUUCAAGUUCACCCUGCAUCCCUGACGUAGCGCUACUCCGGCUCCUCCCCCGCUUGCUGCCAGGUCUAUCUCUCCUUCCUCCCCUGCUCGCUAUCCUGUGAGGAGGUGGACGCGGCUACCUGACGGAGUGAAGCCGGCCUCCCGGCACUGGCAGUUGCAAAAAAAAACAUCAAGUUCAGAAUAAGAAAAAUGAGAAGUUCAAGAAGAACAAAGUUGGCUCGCAGGGACAACCAUGUUGAUCGUGAUUGAAAAAGGAUUAUGAAAUAAUAUUAUUGAGACUGAAGGCCAAGUUUGAUGCAUGAUGUCAAAGGAUUCCAAGUCUUUUUCUGAGGUGGUCGAUGGCUUUCGAGAGAUGCAUUCAUAUCUCACAAGUUUCCAGUGGUUCAAGUUCAUCUAUAUAAGAAGGAAUGCCAAUUUUGUUGCACAUCUGUGUGUGAAAGAGGCACUAAAACUUGAUGUACUUGCUAUUUUUUUUCUUGUAAGGCCUACCUACCUGAUUAAGACUAUUCAAUCACAGUUAUUUUUGCCUGCCA